rnacentral:rRNA from 1 species
GAUGAACGCUGGCGGCGUGCCUAAUACAUGCAAGUCGAACGCAAACUUCGGUUUGAGUGGCGAACGGGUGAGUAAAAGAUAGGUAACCUGGCUUAAAGAGGGGGAUAGCUACUGGAAACGGUAGGUAAAACCGCAUAGGUCAAAAGAUCGCAUGAUCAAAAGAUUAAAGCUGUAAAAGCAGUGCUAUAAGAUGGGCCUAUCACGCAUUAGCUAGUUGGUGAGGUAAAAGCUAACCAAGGCAACGAUGCGUAGCCGGACUGAGAGGUUGAACGGCCACACUGGGACUGAGACACGGCCCAGACUCCUACGGGAGGCAGCAGUAGGGAAUUUUCGGCAAUGGGGGGAACCCUGACCGAGCAACGCCGCGUGAAUGAAGAAGGUAUUCGUAUCGUAAAGUUCUGAUCAAGAGGAAGAAAAGACUAUGUAGGAAAUGACAUAGAGAUGACGGUACUCUUGGAGAAAGCCACGGCUAACUACGUGCCAGCCGCCGCGGUAACAC